rnacentral:rRNA from 1 species
GACGAACGCUGGCGGCGUGCUUAACACAUGCAAGUCGAACGGAAAGGCCCUGCUUGCAGGGUGCUCGAGUGGCGAACGGGUGAGUAACACGUGGGUGAUCUGCCCCUUACUUUGGGAUAAGCCUGGGAAACUGGGUCUAAUACUGGAUAGGACCAUGCUGUAGGUGGUGUGGUGGAAAGAUUAGUUUCGGUAAGGGAUGAGCUCGCGGCCUAUCAGCUUGUUGGUGGGGUAAUGGCCUACCAAGGCGUCGACGGGUAGCUGGCCUGAGAGGGUGGACGGCCACAUUGGGACUGAGAUACGGCCCAGACUCCUACGGGAGGCAGCAGUGGGGAAUAUUGCACAAUGGGCGCAAGCCUGAUGCAGCGACGCCGCGUGGGGGAUGACGGCCUUCGGGUUGUAAACUCCUUUCAGCCAUGACGAAGCCCUUGUGGUGACGGUAGUGGUAGAAGAAGCACCGGCUAACUACGUG